UGCAGCCAAUUGUAUUGAUAUAAUGCAUGGUUUCUUGAUAGGAAAUGAGGGAGGGGCUACCUGCACAAGCUAAACUUUUUGCUCUGCUGCAUUUGUUGUUUGCCUAUGAUAAAUUUUAUUUUUUAAAGGAUUGGCAGAAUUCAAUCAAGCACUGGGUUGAUGCUGAGUGAAGUAGUCUUCCCACAAGGGUGAGGACACUGGGGAUGAGGAGGUUCUCCUUGACCAUGUCAGAGCUCAAAUGAGUUGGGCUCUACAAGCCCAACAAGACCUGAUUGAAAUCCAACUCUAGUAGAUGAGAUCUGAGUGGACCAUUUUGGAGUGCAGACUCAUAAAUUGGUCAUUAGUUUGCGUUGUGGGGGUGAACUACAGCCUGCUUUGGUUUGUUUAUAUUUACUUUUGGUGGCUGUAAAUAAAUGCUCCAGUUUAGAAUUGUCCAAUUGCCUGUCUCUUUGUAAUGUUCCACUACUGGACAAUGAUCAAAUGCAGUUCUGUAGUAGGCAUUGGGGACAGAGUGGUGGUGCCAUUUAGGUUGGAUGAAGCUACAGAAGAUAAAUGGUGUGGCAUUAUGGUUAAACAAUUACAAAGAUGAAAAUAGUGUCAUAUGGAGUGUCAGCCAUUUCCUGUCAGCUGCCAUUGGCAAUGUGCAGUGUUGCUUUGUGGCUGCUCUGUCAUUACAUUAAUGGUGAGGGACAACCAGGGAAUACCAACACUUGUCAGGUUGCACAUCAGCUUUUCAAAGCUGCACAGGCAGAAAGGAUGCUGGUCUAUGGGGAUAUCUGAUGAGUGGAGAGUUGUUCCGGGAAUGGGAUGAAUCAGACCAAUUUAUCUAUCAUUUGGAGCAGUUUUGGGCACCUAAGGAAGGAUUUAAGACAGAAGGAUAGGUUCUUAUUUAGUAAGGGGAUCAAGGGUUAUGGGGAGAAAGCAGGAGAAUGGGUUGAGACACACAUUAGCCAUGAUCAAACGGCAGAACAGAGUCAAUAGGCUGAAUUUUACUCCUACAUUUUUUCAUAUUCCAGUAAAUUUCAUGAGCAUCUGAAUACUGGAAGUAAUUCAACUAAAUUCUACACAGUGUUUCUUCAAACAAGGUAUUGUGCUUGCAACAAUUUGUAGACUUGAUGGGUGGAAGGGCCUUCAGUCUGCCGUAUGACACUAUGACUUUAUAAAAGUGCAAUCUUCACACAGUUUAUUUAGCCUUGCUUGCUGUUGUCGUGCAAUUUCAAUUUUAAUGUUAGCAAAGUAUGUUUGUGCCAUGUUUGUGUACUGUACUUUGGUAAGACCUUCCAUGAAGAAAACAUGAUUUUUUUUUUACUUUGCAGUCUUUCAAUGAAAUGGAACACUGUUUUCUUAGUCGUGGUCCUCUAUUUGUCCGUGAAACUUCUUAAUGCUGUCAUUCUUUUUGUCGUCCUACUGAAUAAACACAGAGGUAAUGGUGCAACAGCAAAAAGUGUUGAGAAAAUAUCAGGAACAGAACAUGAUUCUCAGACUGCUUGAAUAUUGAUGGCAUCUAAAAGGAUCUGCCAGUUUUAGGAGUUUCGAACCAUAUCUGCAGGCUUCUGACAUCAAAUUGUAAUAGCUUGCUGAUAAUCUGCAUGAAAGAGUUUACGUUCCAGACAGAGUGAACCAGAAGAGGAGAUGUGGAAGUUCCCACUGAACUAAUUACAAAUAUUUCUAUCUCUUAUGUAAACAACCAAGAUUGGGUAUGACUUGUUUUUGAAAUGUGAUGUAAUGUAUAGAUAUGAGAAAGCCAAUUGACCUGACAAAUAAGGGAACAACAAAUUUGACAUUAAGACGCUGGUGGCAGUAAGUAAAAAGGAUUUUGCUAAUUGCUGUGUAUCAAAAAAAUUACUAACAAAAGCUGUUGUCACAACAGUACUUUGGAUUUGGUGUCAUUUUAAUGUAAUAAAAUGGAUCCAGGCACAAAGAAUGGGAUAUUUCAGGAAAUUAAAAAGUCAGGUUAGUGUUUUUUGGGAGCAUAUAAUAUAAGGAUGUUGGCUAACCCACCACCUUCCCAUCAACCCUGAGUUCACCUGCAUGAUACAGAAGGUGGUUUGAUGCCAAAAUUGGCAACCCACCCAACACACGUAACUAAGUAAUUAACUAUUAAUGAACAACUGAGGUUGUUAAAUGCACAAUUGAUCCCGAUUUUAUGCUUUCAACACUGAAAAUAAAUUAAAUAAAUUUAAUUCUAAACAUGUGGUUCUGCAAAAUUGGCUUUUGGACAUCCAGGAGAUGCAAUAUCUUAAGUGGCUUUAUUAUUGUUAGAGAAAAAAGAGCAGAGUAAGUAAGACACAGAGCUUUAUAUAGCCUUAAUUCUUCUCUCUUUCUAUGUCUGUGGAAAUGUUCAAACAUUUGUAAGUUGUUGAAAUAUAAUCAAAUAUCAAAAUAUAAUCAAAUCCUUUUACUAUUAUUCAGUGUUAUAUUUUGCUAGAUUGCAGAAUACUAUCAAGC